rnacentral:tRNA from 1 species
GGAUUUAGCUCAGUUGGUAGAAUGUUUGUCUCACAUGCACAAAGCCCUGGGUUAAAUCCCCAGCACCA